AGCUUUAUUGGGGCAAAAGCAACAACGUUUUGAAUCUACCAGGUCUUUAUCAAGCCUGUAGGGUCAAAACGUUGCUGCUUUUGCCCCAAUAAAGCU